AGGCAUUUGGCUGCCUCUGUCACUUUCAGAACAUUACAGAGAAGAUUUUCAUGGCCCCUAUACAAGAAUGGCAUGCAGAUUCAUGAAGCAUUCCAUUAAAAA
ensembl:snRNA U6 U6 spliceosomal RNA